rnacentral:lncRNA from 1 species
CAAUAACACACAAGACACAACCCUUCAGACGUGUCCUUCCCCAAGCAAACUUGUGAACUUCUUCAAGAUAAAACUCAUCUGCUACCCCCUCAUCUCUCCCCAAAGAAGUUUGAAAUGCACGGUACCAGGUGAAUAUGUAGACAACUUAAAUUAUCUGCAUCAGCAAGCGACUCUGCAUUAACAGCUGAGGAGUUUAUGAUGAGUUGGCAAAAAGAGACACCUGUGAACCAGCGCGCACUAGACUCUUGAAUGCACUCCGGGAAUGGCACUCAGUGUCCUGAUGCGGACUCCAGGGCCCCCUUUCCAGUCCUUUGGAUGUCAAGGAAAGAAGAUCCAACUCUCCUCCUGUCUCCUA